GAGAUGGUUUGAGAUGUUGAAGGGUCGCUUCAUUUAAUUACACAUUAACUUUUCAUUCAAUAUUCAUAUAUGUACUGGGGGAGAAGAAAACCGACAAAAUUGUUACCAUGUCCUAUAAUCAGAGCGGAUACCACCAUCGCUUUGAUUUUUCUUCCUUCUCUUUUUUCUUUCUUACUUCCAGCUCUUGAAGAGCUCCAAAGUGGAAUCCAAUGAUAACAAAUUAGAUUUUAUUUUCUAAGAAUCGUUAUUCUUCUUCAUUUCUUUCUGUUUCCAGCAACUACUGAUUUUCCAUUAUAAUCCCCUCAUAUCUUUUUCUUAUCUAUUUUUUAAGGACGUAUGUUAUUGGAAGUUGGAACCCUUAUGAUUACUGACUGUUGUUACAAAAUGACCAAAAAAAUAUUAUUUUACCUAUGUUUUACCUGCAAGAAAAAUGACCAAAAACUAAAAAUUCUACUUAAAUAGUUACAAUGACCAGAAGGGUAAAAAUGUUUUGUUUGAGUCUUCUUAUCCCAUUAUAACACCUGACAUCAUGCUUUGAAACUAAAGUACAAUAUGGUUUACUUUCAAAAGCAAAAACUCUCCAGAUCGUGCAUACAGUCUUGCCAAACAGCCUUUUGAUGAAGCAAUUGCUGAGCUGGAUACAUUGGGGGAGGAUUCUUACAUGGAUAACACUUUCAUCAUGCAACUUCUUCGUGAAAAUCUUGAUAUGCAGGACGAGGGAGCUGAUGAUCUCAUAGUGUUUUGUAACUAUUUUUUAUCCUCACACUUGCUCCUUUGAUUUCAUUAUUUGUGUUCAAUUUUAAACAUUGUUGCUUAAUUUGAUGUCAGAGAUGGAUAUAUAAUGUUCUUACUUACUUUGAUGUCAAUAGGGAAGUUGAUUUAUUGAAGCUUUACAUGAUGCAUCAUGAUGAAGAAUAGAAAUUAGGGUUUGUUGAAAUAGGAUCAAACAGAGAAAGAUUAAAAGGAAGAAGACGAUGAAAUAGAACUAAUUGAUUAAACGAUAACACAAUCUACAAGAUUGCCCAGAGAAUCUCCCUCUCUCUAAGCUGAAAACUUAAGAGCCAACACAAAGUAUUACACUAUCAAUUUUCUAGACAUCUCUCUAUUGUGACCUUUCUCUCUAUUUAUUAUAAUCCUAGCCCACCUAGGUGAAAUUCCUGUUUUGCCCUUUACUGGGCCUUCUAGAUAAAACCUAUAAAAUUCUUGCUUAAAUGGUAUUUGGGCCCAACAAUACUCAUUUCCUAUCACAUCACAGCCCCUCUGACAGAAAUAAGCUAAAUAAAGAAGACGAUGGUCAAGUUAUUGCUCUCAUACGAUUUUUUUUUUUGAAAUAAUGACAUAUUGUAAAUUUAAGUUAAUCGAUUUAAGCUUUCCAUAUCUGCUUCUGUUAUUGUUUAUAUGAUGAUUUUGCCAAAUUUAUUUGGGUUUAUUGUAACCACUCCAUCAAAGUCGACCAACAACAAUCCCAAAAUCAAGGCUUACCGACCGUCGUGCAGUGGCAAUUCCAGACGAAGAUGGGCACGAGUACAUGAGUGGCAGAACCGAAAGUUACUGAUAUGGACACGUUCCAGAUUGUGGUGGGUCGGCUAAAAGGGGAUACUCAAUUAGGCAUGAUUGAAGAAUUUCUGCACAAAAACUACAUGAUACAACUUAUCGGGGAAUUGUUGGUGUAAUUGUUGGAAUUAGACGGAUCUUAUUUGGUUAUCAUACCGGGGAGAAGAAGUAGAGAAGCAUACGCGGUUGCAGAAAAUGGAAGUAGAGUGCUAUAUAUGGGUAUCUACUCAAAACUGCAAACCAUCACGACCAUUUUUGUGGCAUGACAUUUAUGAUUUUAUAUGAGAGGAGAUGCAGCGAAAACUGGACCAGUGGGCCGAAGAAUUGCACAAGGAACGAAAGUGAUUGUAAAAGGCGGAUGUGAGUUUUAAGGGAUCAUGUUUGAGGAACACUUUGUGAAAACCACACAAACAAUUGAAGAAGAAAAGAUUCAGAAAUAAAGUUGAUUCGAUCUUUGGAACUCAUAUUCAUCCACAAACAUCAUCAGCAAAUGACUAUAGUUGCACACAACAGUAACAACUUCCAACCCCGCAACGCGGAGGAGUGCAUCUAGUUACUAUAAAAGAAGAAAAGAAACAAAACGUAUAUAUACGUGAAUAUAUCAACAUAUUUAUAUUUUUUGGAAAUAAAGUCGUGAAGCCUAAAUACUUUAAAUUAAGUUUACCCUUCAUGCAAAUACGUGUCAACUUUUGGAUAAUAACAUCGAAGGUUAAUUUGUAAUUUACACAAAAGUACGUACAAUCUAUUGUUACGUGUUAAUCUAAUUAAGAUCCGUAUAGUACACUUUAAAUACGUGUUAGUAUUGUAUGAGAUGUCUAAGCUUAUCAUUGUACGGUUGCAUUGUAUCGUGAUUCACAAUUUUUGUACAAAUAGACAUCUUUCAUGGAUCUUAUGAUUGUAUUCAAACAAUAAUUUGAUAGAGAACAGAGGAUAUAUUUAGAACAAGGGUAAUUUCAUGGAGCUUGUUCCCAAGGUCACUUCCUUGGGGAGACAAACCAAAUUUAACAAAUCCGCUGAAAAUUUGUAUGAUUGGAAAUCAUGCAUAACAAGUGCAUUGCUUGUCAACAUUUUUCAAAUAAAGCACUUUGGUUAUUAAAUGUUGAUAGUUGGCAAAUAUUGUAAUUCUAUCGGAAGAAAAGAAAAUA